rnacentral:lncRNA from 1 species
GUGUAUGCGGAUCAUUACAGUAACAUCUUACUGAAUCAGAGCAAUGGACAUGAUCAGAGGGAUUGUAAUGCCCACUGGCCUGACCUCCUGGCACUCUGACUCACACUGUGGUCUCUACUGAGGGAAAUCACAUGUCACACUGGAAGUCUGCGGUCUGUUUAUUUGUGUGUAUGUGUGUGUGGUGAUCAAGAUGAGUUCAUUUGUCACUGUAUCAGAGGGCAUUGGUGCAUAUUAAUUAACAAAUGAUUGUGUAUUGAUUUGUGUAUCUAGGAAAAACUCAGAUGAAAACCUCAUACAUUAGAGCAGCUCAAUGGGCAACACUGGUUCAAAUGACAAUGUUUUUCCAAUUGACGGAGUGCGGACAGUGCAGGUCCCAGACGUGUCAUCCAAGCAGCUGAUGCAGGUGGCUAAACUGCAGGGGAAGGACUGGAAUCAGGUGGCUAAGCGGCAGGGGAAGAGGAGUGGAAGCAGGUGGCUAAGCUGCAGGGGAAGGAGUGGAAGCAGGUGGCUAAGCGGCAGGGGAAGGAGUGGAAGCAGGGUGGCUAAGCGGCAGGGGAAGGAGUGGAAGCAGGUGGCUAAGCGGCAGGGGAAGGAGUGGAAGCAGGUGCUAAGCUGCAGGGGAAGGAGUGGAAGCAGGUGGCU